GAAUGCUCAUGUCUUUUUUAUGUCUCCCCCAAACACUGAAUCAGGAUUUAAUGCUUGCUCUCCAUGUUAUAUGGGUAUGCAAGUUUGGCUUUUCUGUUACAUUU
rnacentral:snoRNA from 1 species